rnacentral:tRNA from 1 species
AGACUUGUGGGUGCAUGGGGAGAGGUUAUGCGCUUCAAAGACGGCUCCCCAG